rnacentral:rRNA from 1 species
UACGUAGGGGGCUAGCGUUGUCCGGAAUCAUUGGGCGUAAAGCGCGUGUAGGCGCCAGGUAGGUCCGCUGUGAAAACCCGAGGCUCAACCUCGGGACGUCGGCGGAAACCAUCUGGCUAGAGUCCGGAAGAGGCGAGUGGAACUCCUGGUGUAGCGGUGGAAUGCGCAGAUAUCAGGAAGAACACCAACGGCGAAGGCAGCUCGCUAGGACGGUACUGACGCUGAGACGCGAAAGCGUGGGGAGCGAACAGG